ensembl:snRNA U6 U6 spliceosomal RNA
AUGCUCGCUUCAGCAGCACAUAUACUACAAUUGGAGCAAUACCAAGAAGACUAGCACGGUCCCUGUGCAAGAACCUCCCUCAUCUAGAGUCCUAUUCACUCUUCUU